rnacentral:rRNA from 1 species
AUGAAUGCUUCUAAGAUGACUGAUGUUGAGCGUGAGGCUGUCGUUAGUGGUGGAUAUGAUGCUCAUGGUGUUCCAUUGAGUAGUGGGCGCGAUGUUGGUGCCAAAGUUGCUGAUGAGGAUGUUGCUGCUGCUAGCAUACUUGAUGUCAAACCACCUAGGAAUGUUGGGAAUGAAAAUCUUUCUGGUUUUGAAGAUUUGUCGCUGGAAAAUUUCCCGCCUGGAGGGCUUGAUUACGGUGAUGCAUUGCAAGAUGCUUCUAGCGUGGAGGAGGAACUACCGUCGUCGUCAAACACUGAUAGUGCAGAAAGUGGAAAUGUUGUUAAGGUUGAUAUGUUUUUCUUCGCUGUUACGAGGUUAGGCACGAACCGUACGAAAUGUCACAAGCCAAUGUUUCAAAAUAAAGAAUGUGAUGCCAGUCUUGGUUCUAUUUCUAAAGCGUUUGUCCCCACUGGCAUGCUCAACUCAGACAGUGUUGUUGUUGUCUUAUAUUCUCUACGUCAGAAGUACCGAGACACAGACAAGUUGAUAGUUCCCAGAUGGGUGACGCUUCUCUUCCCUACUUUUGAUCCAUCGUCCAUUGCGGCUACCAUGAAGCCUAGCGAAGUAUCUGGGCAGUGGUGA